rnacentral:rRNA from 1 species
GGUGCACCAGUUGUCACGCCAGUGGCACCGCUGGGCAGCUAAGUGCGGAAUGGAUAAACGCUGAAAGCAUCUAAGCGUGAAGCCACCUCCAAGAUAAGAUAUCCCAUAGCGUUAAGCUAGUAAGACCCCUUGUAGACUACGAGGUAGAUAGGCUGCAGGUGUAAGCAUGGCGACAUGUUCAGCCAGGCAGUACUAAUCGGUCGAGGGCUUGUCUAA